AGAAAUGAAUUAAUUAGCAUUACACAUUUAAGGCUAUUUAAAUGUGAGAUUUAAAGUCAUUUAGGUCAUCUCCAACCGAUCCGGCCAUAAAGUUAAAAGGUAAAAAAUAAUUCGAAAUAAUACAAAAACUGUCACCAAUCAAAGAUUAAGUCAAAAAGCUCGUGGGCUCCCCCAGGCCGAAAAAGAAGAAUCAGAUCAACCGGCUGGCUCAAAGAGCCAGCCAGCUAGCCCCGGGCCGGCCUCUCUUCCUCUCGCAGGCAACGACUCAAGCUUCUCUCUUCCUCCUCUUCUUCUUCUGAUUCAUCUUCUGUCUCUCCCAUCGAGCUUUACGUUUUGACGAUCUUUAGGGUUUUGAAAUCUGAAGCUUCAAAACCAUGGAAGACGCUUCAAAUUCGAACCCAAUCUCUGGAAUUCGAACUCAAUCCCAGGCCGAGGGCCGAGCGGCAUCUCUCACUUGUAUAAAUACCAAACAAACGCAGCCCUUCAUUUGCUUGCUUGUCUGACCAUCUCACCCGGUUUUCGAGCUUCACACCAGACACAAAGACGCAGAAGCACCAAAAAUGGAGAAAGCGAUCAACAGGCAGCGUGUUCUGCUCGACCACCUCCGCCCUCCCUCCGCCGACUCUUCUUCUUCUCUCUCCAGCUUAUCGGACUCCGAUUUGCAAGGCGAAACGCAGCGGCCUCAAGGAUACUCAUGCUGAUGAUCUUCUUGCACCUGUUUUGAAGAUACCUAUGUUGUUGAUCCAAGGGUCGCGAUGACUUGUUCUCGGACCAAUGGUUGAACAAUUGCUUCAAGUUUUGAGCUUGAAACAAUGCGUUGAUAGUCUUCACCUUUAGGGUUGUGUAUGACCUGCGACAAGGUGAUGUUGAUGUGGGAUUUUGUUGAUUUAAGGGUCUUGGCAACUUGAUUUUGAAUCGAACGUCGUUAUAAGUUUUAAGCUUGUAACAAAGUAUUGAAGGAGUCGGCACAAGUGCUUGUUGAUUCUUCAAGAGAAUGCUUCAGCUUUGGUCGAAAGAAAACUUCGGCUUUGGUAUACGUUCUUCGAAGAGAGCUUUGACAGCGUAUUAGUCUUCAAAGAUUUGGCAGAGGUUAUCCUUUUGUGAGAAUUUCAGCCAUUCAAUGUAGAAAUUGUGGACCCCUAUUUGUGUUUGGGGACCUUAUAUUUAUAGACUUCCAAAGCUAUGCCUUUGGAUGGAUUUGACUUUGAUUUGUGUCUUGAUUCAUCCAUGGGAGAAUUUAGACAUGUUUUGUGUCUUAAUUUAGCCACUUUCCCUUGCUUGGUCAAAUUAUAGGGCUUUCUUGCCUAUUUUGUGAGUAAUAUUCAAUUCUUGCUUGUUUUGUGAAGAUGCUUUAGCUUUCUUUCGGUUUUGGGAGCAAUUUGGGUCCUUUAACGAUUUUAAGAAGAUUUCUUCCCAUUUGCCGCAUUUUAGGAAUGCUUUUGAGCUUCAUUUGCUUGAUUUGUGCCACAUAUCAUUGAUGACUUGUCCAUUUGUGAUGAGUCAUAUGCCGUGUGGAGCUUUGUUAUGCAUUAUUUGCAUGCAACGAAAUUUUCAUGUCUAUAGAUGCCCCCACUUCAAGGCGCGUUGUAGGCAUGUGCUUGUCGCAUGCAAGAAACGUGUUUUGAAGUCUUGCGAUGUGAAUGUGCUAAUUCAAGAGUCGUCGAGACUUGAUCUUGAAUUAGUUUGCUUCUUCAAUGGCUGUAAAGGCUUGAUCUUAAACGAAACAUUUCUUCAAGGGCCGUUGAGGCGUAUUUCUUGGACAAAACAUUUCUUCAAGGACCAUAGAGGCUUGAUCUUGAAUGAAAUGAAAAUUUUCUUCAACGGCCGUAGAUGCUUGAUCUUGAAUGAAAAUGUAAUUUUCCUUCAUGAGCCGUAGAUGCUUGAUCUUGAAAGAAAUGAAAAUUUUCUUCCAAGGUUGUAGAGGCUUGAUCUUGAAAGAAAUUUUGGAAAUAGAUAAAUCGGCACAUACUUAUUGUGCGUAUUGAUUUUCCAUAAUUUUGACAAAAUACAUUUGGUGUAUUUUGAAUUUUUUUCCUUGUGGUUGUAGGAGAAAAAAAAAAGUUGUUUCCUUCAUUAGGUAGGAACCUCCUUCAAUUUUGGUAAUGAGGGUGAUUUCCUUCAAAGUGUUGGAAAACUUUAGUAAUUUCCUUCAAAGCUUUGGAAAGAUUUAAUGGUUGUCCUUAGGUAAGUAGGAUUUGCAUUUUUUUCCUUUUUACGGCAAGUAGAGUGUUUUCCCUCUUAGUUUGGGAAACUUGACAACUUGUCUUUGCUUUGGAGGGAUUCCCUUUUGUAUUUUGGCAAGGAAAAGUACUUUCCUUUGAUGUUUUUGGGAAUUUUAAAGUCGUUUCCUUAUUUUUUUUUUGUUACCCUUUCUUCUUUUUGUUGAUUUUUUGUGCCAAAAACAGCAUGCUUUUCCCUUGUUGGCCGAAAUUACAUUGCCCUUUUUGCUUGGAAUUUGCUUCCUUCUUGCAGCUAGAAUGUGCUUCCUUGUUUUGAUUUUCCUUUUGGUAUUUGGUAUGUGUUCUCCCUAUAGCAUUAGGAAGCAAUUGACCCUUAAUAUAGGGCAAUUGGGUGUGUUUUUGUCACAAAACAUCCUUGUCGUGCACUGUUUUUGUGCUUGUCGUGCCUUGUAGCUGCUUGAAGAUGUCGUGGGUUUGCUUGUUGCUUGGUGCCGUGGCUUAUAGCUGCUUAGAGUCGUGCCUUUUUCUGCUUAGUGCUUGUUACAAUGCGUCACUUUUUACCGCGUGGUGCUAUGCAAAAGAUUGCAGCAGGGUUUCGCUGUGUAGUGCCUUUUGGUCACAGUUUCUCUUGGUGGUGACGUUGUCGUUCAGUGCAAGAAAUUGUUUGCGUAAUCGCUACGGGGUUGCAUAGUGCGAUUGCGUAGUAUUUUGGUUUUCUUUGCUACUGUAGUGUGCUUUGAAUGACCUUCUCAAGCUUUAUGGCUGAUUUCUUUUCAUCCUUGUGACUUUGUCAUCGUCAUCCUUUAACGCUCGCGAGGUUUGUCUCACAUGUAUUUUUCUUUAGUGAAGCAAUUUUUUUUUCUCCUUCUUGCCGUCCCACUUUUUAUGUUUAUGUUGCCUUAUUUGUUUUGUUACAGCCAUGGUAUUUUUCAAAUGCUUUAAAAGUAAUACCAUCACCAUUCUUGCGAAGGAAGGCAAUUCGCAAGAUAAGGGAACGACGUUGAAGCUUUGUGCACUGUUGACUAGCCCUAAGGCGCUUGUUCUUCCUGUAAAAGAUAAUUCGAUCCAUAUCAAGUCGUGGUCGUCUGAAGUAUCUUGGGAGGUGAUAGAUUUUGGUCGACCAAAUACGAAGAAGAAGGCAUGUACGUUGAGGAUUCUUAUCUUGAAUUCUUCGCACCAUGUUCGUGACAAUUCACCAUCUUCAUUUAAGCUUCUUCAUGAUUGCAUCCGUAGCGGAGCAAUGACUUGAAAUGACAUCUUGUCUACUAUUGGAGAGGCUGUCUUUGCUGAGUUUUAUUGAGAGUGACUUGAAGAUGUCUUGAGCCGAUCUAAAGAUAUGCUUACCAACGUAGGCCUUUAUCUCCCUGUGUACGUAUGUUUGUUUAGUUAUAAUCGUCAUCCUUCCGUCCUUCGUGUGUUCUUUAAGUAUUAGUGUUCAGUGGUUAACACAUUUCACACAUCAUAAAGGGAAAUGUCGAUUUCACUUUGGGAUCUUCACAAGAUAGGAGGCUUGCCGAUCCAUGGUAAGUUUUAUGACAAGGUUGUUCCUAGCGUGGAGGAAUUUUCUCAUCGCAACAGCAGAGGAUUUCUUGCGAAUUGUCAUUAUUUGUUUUGGGCGUAUCACAAGCUUUACCACGAUGCUCAGGUUAAGUCAGGCAUGAUGGAUCCGAUUUUGGUAUUGAGAUGCCAUGAAGUACAAGAAGCCUUCGAAGAAAAAUGGCCGUAACAUGACCACUAAGCCAAAGGGAGACUCAGACUCAUCAGGUGCCAUUGGUUCAGCUAGGCGCCGUGCCCCUUCCGAGUUGCAAGUGUUCAAGGAUCUUGGUGUAGCGUCAUAGCACGUGCAAUAAUUUUACCUAGUCGUUUUCUUAGCUUGUUGGCUUUGUAAGUUUAUUUUCCUUAAAGAUGACGUCAACUUACCCUAGAGUCUUUAAAGUGGCUAGCAAGAUGGCUGCAGGUGAAUCUUUCAGCCUUGCUAUUCCGGUCUUAGUCAUAUUUAUAAUGGCUUAAAUGUUGUUUCGAACUCGGCGAGCAUCGAAGAUAGUGGUGCAGUAUUUCCCUACAACUAUGUGUACGGUUGGUUGGGUGAGUAUUUUGGCACUAAUUUUCUUCGUCGACUUUUCACAAGUCGGGCUCUUCUUCAACAACUUUAGUCAAGUUGGGGCCUUUAAUGACAAAGUACUAUGGCGUGCUUUCUGCGUAGAGUUUUGAUGAUUUGCAGGCGCAAGCGUUGUUUAGAAGUUGUGACGGUUUGAGGAUGGACCAUUUGGCAAGAGUUGGCUCGACGCAGUGAGGUCUUAUAGAUGAUUCACACCUUCGUUUCUCAAACUUGUCUUACAUCAUAAGUCUUUGCUCGGGGUAUGUUUCUUUGCGGCAAGGAGACCGAUGUAUUGUUCAGCUGUAUAAUCCUUAUCGUUUCAGCGGACAGUUUGGUUUUGUCUAACAUGUGCCGGGUAAGUUAAAGGAAAACGCACGGUCAGAAUCUUUGCAAGCCGUGUAUAUUCAUUGAGAGUCUUGUACCCAUGCAUGCACAAAUGCUUUUAUCACCUUGUCGACCAAGGACGAGUUCAAGAGUAAUCUAGUGACCUGUGCUUAUGUAGGUUGGUGGUUAAAGAUACACCAUGAAGACUUAGGGACGACAAGUGGCACUAAUUAUUCUCAUUCAUGCAAUGAUGCAUUGAGAGGGUUGUUCUGCGGUUUCUAUGUAACUGGCACCUUUUGAUUGUGCGAGUACAGCUCAUUUGCAAGGUGGACUUGUGGCUUUAGCUCAUCAACAUCUGUCUUUGUCUUCUCAACAUUUCGAUGCUUCUGAAGAGGCAGGUGACGAAGUUGAUUCACAUGAAGAUGAACUUGUUUUGCAGUAGAAUCAACAAGUUUUAAAUAAGCGAUCGCUUGAAGGCCUUCAGGAUGAUAGGGACGUCAAUUUUCGUCAUAAGAAGAAGAAAAUGUUUAGGUAUCCUCAGUUUGAUGGCUAUGUGUCACUUGAGAAAGAUGCUGGGCCCUCUUGUUCUUUUGAUUUGGUGUACAUGUGCAUUCAUUCCUUUACGAAGAUGUUAUUUAGAGGCAACUUACCUACGGAUGAGGAGAUUAGGGAUCUGCUUGGUGUAAAGCUUGCUACAAAUCCGUCAAGUUGCCCAAAUUUGCCGUGUGUAGGUGUAAGUAUGCAAGAGCCUGUCAUGCAUCCAACAUCUUUGCUAGCUAGCUUCGAUCUCUCUUAAAUGGCCGAACCUUAGUGGCACUGAGCAACUCAUCCAUCGCAUCAACCUUCGCGCGGCUAUGGAUAUCAAGAGAAGAGGAUUUCAAAGUGCGCAUCGGAGGACCCUGCGUUGCUCAAGGAAGACUUAUUGAAGCUUGUUUCUGCGAUCGAUAACCUUAAUGUUGAUUCCUCAAUCUUGAGAGUCAAGAAUAUCGAACUUAUGGCUACCUUAACGAGUAUUCUUCUUUGCAUGCUGUUUCUUUGAAGAAGUUGAAUCCAGAGGUUAGAGCUCAGCAACUUGUGGCAAUGGACUUAUCAAUUGCCCAAGUUCGGUCUUCUCAGCAAGCCGUUUCGGAAGGUUAUCAAGCCACAAUGAUUUCUUUAGCUUCUGUCUAGGCGUGUCUAGAAGCAUUGGCGCGAGAGUGAAAGCAGUUGGAAAUCGAAGCAUCACGACUUUAAGGUUUUCUUUUGGAGCAGGAAGCUACAUUUUCUCAACAUCAAGAGGAGAUUUCGUGCUUAUAGCAAGAGAAAGACGCGGUUAUGGAGGUGCCCACCUUGUCCCCCACCGUCAUCGUAGUUUUACGAACAUAGCUUUCAAGUAGUGUCUUCCGUUCUUUGUACUUUAAGCCUUCUUUAUUUUUGCUCAUUUUGUAAUACGGCUUUGUAGCCAAAUUCUUCCUUUAAAGAAAAGUAUUCACAAUCUUGAA